rnacentral:lncRNA from 1 species
CCCUUGUGGAGAGGAGCGAUCUCCUUUUACAACUGUCUGGGAUUUGUAUGGAGGUGGAAUUCGGCAGUUACAGAAAACCAGUAGGAGCCUUCUGAGCUCACAGAACCUCCAGAACAUCAGCUGGAAGUGCAGUGGCUGCAUCUGGAGACCCUGUGCCCCAGUCCUCGGGCUGAGCUUUGAAGAAGAGACCUCCAGCAGCACUGGUGAGUACAGAGAUGGCCACGGAGACAGAAAUGAAAGCGGCAGAGCACCGCGAGGGCACAGCCGAGGCUUGUGGAGACAGCGCUCCAACUCUCCAGACAGCAGACCUAAAGGAGUCUCAUCCUAAAAAGGGAUCCAAGCACUAAAAUAACUGGCACUCACUCGUCUUAAAAGCUCAGAGGAACAGUGCUGAUUCUGUACCAACCUGGCAGAAAUUCUGAGGAAAAAAUUGAGGUUCCUUCUAUAAAUCAGAGUUACAUAGCCCAGUAUAGUGGAGAUGGAAUGAAAUUAAGAAAACCUGUAAUUCAAGCAUCAUCUUCUAUAGAACUAGUGGCCUGAUGUGUCUUGCCCAAGUUCACACAGCAAUUUAGAAGACAAUUUAGAUUAAGAAUCAUGGAGGUUCAGCAACUCCGAAUUCAGUGUUCGGUUCACUUCCUUUUAUCCUGAAGACAGAGUUCUCAGGAGGACGACGCUACAGUGAGUUCAGAAAGUUUCCCUCUGGAGCCUGGAGAACGUUGAAACAGAUCCUGAAGACAGGCAGGCAUUGCUGUGUGGAAAUGAAGUUUCCAGGACUUGAAAAACAUGUAAUUAAACCCUAGCAGCCGAAUGGAAACUGGAAGUGACUUACAUCACCUAUUUGUAACCCAAAGGAGAGACAAUCAGUUGACCAGUGGUUAUUUUUAAAUAAAGUUUUUUAAAAUGAAAAGAAGGAGCAUUUUCAUUUUCACUUUUAGAACAAAAGAAUGUAUGAUUUAUGAAAGAAAA